GAUGAAGGACGUUACUAACGACGAUAUGCUUUGGGGAGCUGUAAGUAAGCUUUGAUCCAGAGAUUUCCGAAUGGGGAAACCCAGCAUGAGUUAUGUCAUGUUAUCGAUAUGUGAAUACAUAGCAUAUCAGAAGGCACACCCGGAGAACUGAAACAUCUUAGUACCCGGAGGAAGAGAAAGAAAAUUCGAUUCCCUUAGUAGCGGCGAGCGAAACGGGAAGAGCCCAAACCAAAAAGCUUGCUUGUUGGGGUUGUAGGACACUCUAUACGGAGUUACAAAGGACGACAUUAGACGAAUCAUCUGGAAAGAUGAAUCAAAGAAGGUAAUAAUCCUGUAGUCGAAAAUGUUGUCUCUCUUGAGUGGAUCCUGAGUACGACGGAGCACGUGAAAUUCCGUCGGAAUCUGGGAGGACCAUCUCCUAAGGCUAAAUACUCUCUAGUGACCGAUAGUGAACCAGUACCGUGAGGGAAAGGUGAAAAGCACCCCGGAAGGGGAGUGAAAUAGAACCUGAAACCGUGUGCUUACAAGUAGUCAGAGCCCGUUAAUGGGUGAUGGCGUGCCUUUUGUAGAAUGAACCGGCGAGUUACGAUUUGAUGCAAGGUUAAGCAGUAAAUGUGGAGCCGUAGCGAAAGCGAGUCUGAAUAGGGCGUUUAGUAUUUGGUCGUAGACCCGAAACCAGGUGAUCUACCCUUGGUCAGGUUGAAGUUCAGGUAACACUGAAUGGAGGACCGAACCGACUUACGUUGAAAAGUGAGCGGAUGAACUGAGGGUAGCGGAGAAAUUCCAAUCGAACCUGGAGAUAGCUGGUUCUCUCCGAAAUAGCUUUAGGGCUAGCCUCAAGUGAUGAUUAUUGGAGGUAGAGCACUGUUUGGACGAGGGGCCCCUCUCGGGUUACCGAAUUCAGACAAACUCCGAAUGCCAAUUAAUUUAACUUGGGAGUCAGAACAUGGGUGAUAAGGUCCGUGUUCGAAAGGGAAACAGCCCAGACCACCAGCUAAGGUCCCAAAAUAUAUGUUAAGUGGAAAAGGAUGUGGCGUUGCCCAGACAACUAGGAUGUUGGCUUAGAAGCAGCCAUCAUUUAAAGAGUGCGUAAUAGCUCACUAGUCGAGUGACACUGCGCCGAAAAUGUACCGGGGCUAAACAUAUUACCGAAGCUGUGGAUUGUCCUUUGGACAAUGGUAGGAGAGCGUUCUAAGGGCGUUGAAGCAUGAUCGUAAGGACAUGUGGAGCGCUUAGAAGUGAGAAUGCCGGUGUGAGUAGCGAAAGACGGGUGAGAAUCCCGUCCACCGAUUGACUAAGGUUUCCAGAGGAAGGCUCGUCCGCUCUGGGUUAGUCGGGUCCUAAGCUGAGGCCGACAGGCGUAGGCGAUGGAUAACAGGUUGAUAUUCCUGUACCACCUAUAAUCGUUUUAAUCGAUGGGGGGACGCAGUAGGAUAGGCGAAGCGUGCGAUUGGAUUGCACGUCUAAGCAGUAAGGCUGAGUAUUAGGCAAAUCCGGUACUCGUUAAGGCUGAGCUGUGAUGGGGAGAAGACAUUGAGUCUUCGAGUCGUUGAUUUCACACUGCCGAGAAAAGCCUCUAGAUAGAAAAUAGGUGCCCGUACCGCAAACCGACACAGGUAGUCAAGAUGAGAAUUCUAAGGUGAGCGAGCGAACUCUCGUUAAGGAACUCGGCAAAAUGACCCCGUAACUUCGGGAGAAGGGGUGCUCUUUAGGGUUAACGCCCAGAAGAGCCGCAGUGAAUAGGCCCAAGCGACUGUUUAUCAAAAACACAGGUCUCUGCUAAACCGUAAGGUGAUGUAUAGGGGCUGACGCCUGCCCGGUGCUGGAAGGUUAAGAGGAGUGGUUAGCUUCUGCGAAGCUACGAAUCGAAGCCCCAGUAAACGGCGGCCGUAACUAUAACGGUCCUAAGGUAGCGAAAUUCCUUGUCGGGUAAGUUCCGACCCGCACGAAAGGCGUAACGAUUUGGGCACUGUCUCAACGAGAGACUCGGUGAAAUCAUAGUACCUGUGAAGAUGCAGGUUACCCGCGACAGGACGGAAAGACCCCGUGGAGCUUUACUGUAGCCUGAUAUUGAAAUUCGGCACAGCUUGUACAGGAUAGGUAGGAGCCUUUGAAACGUGAGCGCUAGCUUACGUGGAGGCGCUGGUGGGAUACUACCCUAGCUGUGUUGGCUUUCUAACCCGCACCACUUAUCGUGGUGGGAGACAGUGUCAGGCGGGCAGUUUGACUGGGGCGGUCGCCUCCUAAAAGGUAACGGAGGCGCUCAAAGGUUCCCUCAGAAUGGUUGGAAAUCAUUCAUAGAGUGUAAAGGCAUAAGGGAGCUUGACUGCGAGACCUACAAGUCGAGCAGGGUCGAAAGACGGACUUAGUGAUCCGGUGGUUCCGCAUGGAAGGGCCAUCGCUCAACGGAUAAAAGCUACCCCGGGGAUAACAGGCUUAUCUCCCCCAAGAGUUCACAUCGACGGGGAGGUUUGGCACCUCGAUGUCGGCUCAUCGCAUCCUGGGGCUGUAGUCGGUCCCAAGGGUUGGGCUGUUCGCCCAUUAAAGCGGUACGCGAGCUGGGUUCAGAACGUCGUGAGACAGUUCGGUCCCUAUCCGUCGUGGGCGUAGGAAAUUUGAGAGGAGCUGUCCUUAGUACGAGAGGACCGGGAUGGACAUACCUCUGGUGUACCAGUUGUCGUGCCAACGGCAUAGCUGGGUAGCUAUGUGUGGACGGGAUAAGUGCUGAAAGCAUCUAAGCAUGAAGCCCCCCUCAAGAUGAGAUUUCCCAACUUCGGUUAUAAGAUCCCUCAAAGAUGAUGAGGUUAAUAGGUUCGAGGUGGAAGCAUGGUGACAUGUGGAGCUGACGAAUACUAAUCGAUCGAAGACUUAAUCAA
rnacentral:rRNA from 1 species